rnacentral:lncRNA from 1 species
CGUAGAGACUCAACUAAACUACAAUUUGUUACAAUAUGUACAAAUGAGUCAUAAUUUAAUGAAUAAAAUCUAUAUAAAUGAACUAUAAACUGGUAGGAGGAGGAUUAUCAGGCAGGGGUGGACGACGGUGCUGCUUUGGUAUGUUAAAAGUAGGGUCGUCGUCCCCUCUCUCGUUGUGACAACACAAAAAAUCGGAUUGUCCAGAAUUUAAGUUUAAAGAAUUAGUUAUUAAUAAAAUGAAUUUUAUUAAUAAAAUUAUAUGUUGUGUUUAUUAAUCAUUCUAGAACCUAGGAUAAUUAUAAUACGGGAGGAUUCUGGCUAUGAG